GAAGGGGGCUAGCGUUGCUCGGAAUCACUGGGCGUAAAGGGCGCGUAGGCGGCCGAUUAAGUCGGGGGUGAAAGCCUGUGGCUCAACCACAGAAUUGCCUUCGAUACUGGUUGGCUUGAGACCGGAAGAGGACAGCGGAACUGCGAGUGUAGAGGUGAAAUUCGUAGAUAUUCGCAAGAACACCAGUGGCGAAGGCGGCUGUCUGGUCCGGUUCUGACGCUGAGGCGCGAAAGCGUGGGGAGCAAACGGGGGAUUAGAUACCCUGGUAGUCCACGCCGUAAACGAUGAAUGCCAGCCCGUUGGCCUGCUUGCAGGUCAGUGGCGCCGCUAACGCAUUAAGCAUUCCCGCCUGGGGAGUACGGUCGCAAGAUUA
rnacentral:rRNA from 1 species